UACGUAGGGUGCGAGCGUUAAUCGGAAUUACUGGGCGUAAAGCGUGCGCAGGCGGUUCGUUAUGUCCGUUGUGAAAGCCCCGGGCUCAACCUGGGAAUGGCAAUGGAAACUGGCGGGCUAGAGUGUGGCAGAGGGGGGUGGAAUUCCGCGUGUAGCAGUGAAAUGCGUAGAUAUCGGGAGGAACACCUGCGGUGUAGACGGCUUACUGGACCGUAACUGACGCUGAGGCACGAAAGCGUGGGGAGCAAACAGG
rnacentral:rRNA from 1 species